rnacentral:rRNA from 1 species
ACGUGGUUAACCUACCCUCAGGACGGGGACAAACCCGGGAAACUGGGGCUAAUACCAGAUAGGCGAGGACGCCUGGAAUGGUUCUUCACCCAAAGGGCUUUGGAAACAUGCUUUUCAAAGUCGCCUGGGGAUGGGGCCGCGUCCGAUCAGGUUGUUGGUGAGGUAAUGGCUCACCAAGCCUAUAACCGGUACGGGCCGUGAGAGCGGUAGCCCGGAGAUGGGCACUGAUACAAGGGCCCAUGCCCUACGGGGCGCAGCAGUCGCGAAAACUCCGCAAUGCACGAAAGUGUGACGGGGCUACCCCGAGUGCCGUCCGCUGAGGAUGGCUUUUCCUCUGUGUAACUAGCCGGGGGAAUAAGGAGAGGGCAAGACUGGUGUCAGCCGCCGCGGUAAUACCAGCUCUCCGAGUUGUAGGGAUGAUUAUUGGGCUUAAAGCGUCCGUAGCUGGCUUAGCAAGUCUCCUGUUAAAUUCAGCGACCUAAUCGUUGA